rnacentral:lncRNA from 1 species
CACAAGUGUUUGGGAGUCUCACAGUAGCUAUAAGCUUCAAGAAGAGGGACAUCAAGAGAUCCUUGCAGCACAGAGAGCACCAUCAAGUCUUCUUGCACCCACUUCUUUGCUUCAGCUUUGGUGAGAGUCUUUUCCUUUUCACCUUCUUCAAUUUUUUUGGCCACUGGCUUCGGACCAUCAUCAGUGAUGUGGCUCCACAGCCC